CUCAGAGAAGACAAGGACCAGUUCUAGUUAGGCUUGAUCGAGUUAAGGGGUCUUUAGGCACUAAAAGAAGGCGCUGGAACUGCUGUCUCAUUUACUCGCCGAUUUAGUAGAAAAAGAGAAUCAUUCUGAGGCUCUAUCACAUGAUACUAGUAGUUCUUCUGCUAUGCUCAAUACUUCAGGUAUGAGUGAUGGGGACGAAGAGCAGCCAUUUUGUGCAUAGAUAUAGAAUCGGCUAUUGGGAAACAUACAUUAGUGUUAGUGUGGUAUGGUUGACCGAAGGAUGAUCAGUUACAGACAGAUCGUCAUGUGAUUUGUGCUGAAUUUCGAUUCAAUGCCAGUUGUGAGUCCUGUAAUCGUAACUCAAGUUUAUUAGGUACUAGAUACAGAAGCUCGUACUAGCAUUUUUCUUGUGCUGGUAUAUUACCAUCACAGUACUGCCAUAUUUUUGUCGGCAUCACUGAGCACAGUUGGGAAGAGGUACACAGAUACAGGAGGCUCCUCACCAUCCCAAUAUCUAUUCAACCCUAUAAUGUUUAUAUUUUUUAAAAUUUAGAAUAAUAUUUUUGUAUUUACUUCUUCCAGUAGAUCGUUGAAUGUUACAACUGCUACCAGUACUAGGAUCUGAAUGAGGACCAUGUUGGGGUCUUUGCUGGAACCACUUAUACUUGAUGAUGGUGGCUGUUUUA